GAUGAACGCUGGCGGCGUGCCUAAUACAUGCAAGUCGAGCGAACAGACGAGGAGCUUGCUCCUCUGACGUUAGCGGCGGACGGGUGAGUAACACGUGGAUAACCUACCUAUAAGACUGGGAUAACUUCGGGAAACCGGAGCUAAUACCGGAUAAUAUAUUGAACCGCAUGGUUCAAUAGUGAAAGACGGUUUUGCUGUCACUUAUAGAUGGAUCCGCGCCGCAUUAGCUAGUUGGUAAGGUAACGGCUUACCAAGGCAACGAUGCGUAGCCGACCUGAGAGGGGGAUCGGCCACACUGGAGCUGGGACAGGGUCCAGACGCCUACGAGAGGCAGCAGUAGGGAAUCUGCCGCAAUGGGCGAAAGCCUGGCAGAGCAACGCCGCGUGAGUGAUGGAGGUCUUCGGAUCGUAAAACUCUGUUAUGAGGGAAGAACAAAUGUGUAAGUAACUAUGCACGUCUUGACGGUACCUAAUCAGAAAGCCACGGCUAACUACGUG
rnacentral:rRNA from 1 species